rnacentral:rRNA from 1 species
CGCGUAGGCGGCCACCGCAAGUCGACUGUGAAAUCUCCGGGCUUAACCCGGAAAGGUCAGCCGAUACUGCGGGGCUAGAGUGCGGAAGGGGCAACUGGAAUUCUCGGUGUAGCGGUGAAAUGCGUAGAUAUCGGGAGGAACACCUGUGGCGAAGGCGGCCCCCUGGUUGGAUACUGACGCUGAGACGCGAAAGCGUGGGGAGCAAACA